UAACAUGAACGAAUCCAGGACAGAAGCCGAAUUUCUCUGCCUAAAGAAAGCAAAGUGAAGUUGUUUUCUUCACGGCUUCAACGAAGCUUCCAGGUACGAGCUUGACCGAACCGGUUCUAACCGCUUUUGGUUGCCUUUGCCUUUGAAUUUCAGGUGUAUUCUAACUCAAUUUGGUUAAAACUUGUUUGUUAGCACUCUUAACUAAUAUAUUUUCGAAUUUUAGGUAGAAAUUGGCUCUGAAAAUUUCGUCUGAACGUUGAAUUACUAGUGGAUAUAAGUGGGAAGCGCGUUUCCACGUGGGUAAGUUUGGCUCUUAUUUAUCGUUUAAAAUUAUUUUUUAUUUCGGAUUUGUUGCUGAGAUAAAUCACUAAAGAGUUAACUUGAGAUUUCCUGCCUGUUUUAUCGGUUUUAAAAGUUUCAUUGAGGAAUAGCCAAAAGUGGGUGUCCUCCCGCAGAAAUUUUUUUACAUUUUUGAAGCAAUAUAUUAUAUAUAUACAUAAAAUUUGCGAACUUCACAGGCUAUAUUUUCCUCAUUUUACAACAAUUUUACUCAUUUGAAGAUGCUCUUUCCAGCCAUGGUAAUGGAUUUUGUUCUUCUUGUCUAGCUCAAAAUGUAGUCGCGAUGUAUAGCUGGAAUUACCCAUUGUAUUGUUCGGUUAUACUAAAAUGCAUGGCACUUAACAUCAAUGAUUUUUAACUAUAUAUGAUCAUUAAUUUUCUUUCUAUAUCUAUUUUCAGGUUGAAAAUGAUUACAAAUCAACCCAAUGCUACGUUAUUUUGGAAAAAGAUGCUGACCAAUGCUUAAGAUGUGUUUGACAGCAGGUUUCUUAUUUGCAUCACAUGCAGCCAAGCAGAAUCGGACAGCGAAGGAGGCGAUUUUAUUUAUCUGAAAAUGCCCCUAACGCUAAAGUGCUCGCCCAAACAAUUUGUCCUGAACAUCAGAUGACUGGGUUUAAAUUGUUAAAUUGCAACUGGAAUAUGGGCCAACUCCAUGCACUUCAAAAGCAACGUUGCUUUCUUAAUGGCUUCUCUGGAGCAGAUGUAUAGGUAUUGUAUUAUUUAUCUUGUUAUGUUUCAUCAAUUCACUCUUCAGUAUAUUCUGUUACUCUGCUAAUAUCAUAAGGCACCACCUCGUGUCAUUGUCUUCUGUGCACUCGAAAUUAACAAAUUCGAGAAGUCUACUGCGCCUACUGCCAGGGUUUAGGAGAUCAUGAUGGUGUAUUUAUUUUUCUUUUCCAAAUCUUUCAGAUCGCCAGCAAACCCAAUGUUAAAUGUUGCGUCAAGUGGAUUAUUACGUCUACAUCGUAUUGGACCGGAUCGGAAAACGCCUUUGUAGAACGGACAGCCGCCGCAGAGACAUCACUGAUGCACGUGAGGAAGGAAGAAAAGGCAGGCAUGCAGCAUGAACAGAACUGUAAAAUAAGCAGCUGCCUUGCCUCGACUGUGAAAAUCAAAACGUCGACUCCAUCACCACAUGGGAGUCGAUACAAUUUACGAGACAUCCUGCAGGACCACCACAACAUCGCCUUGGAUUUUAUUGGAUUUGUGUACCUGAACAAAAGACUACAGCUAAGACGUACGACGCAACCGACGCCCUACAGAUGAACCGACGCCCUACAGAUGAACCGACGCCCUACAGAUGAACCGACGCCCUACAGAUGAACCGACGCCCUACAGAUGAACCGACGCCACUGAGGUAAUAUCCCAGCGUAUCCUUUAAAGUGAUAAAUACUAUAGUGACGUAUUGCCUCAGCAUCGAUCACAAGAAAGAAGACGUCUCAGGUUAGCGUAUUACACACACUAAAAUUUCGGGGCAACAUUUUCAUGUUUCGGCCAUGUGUGUAAAUAUUCGUACUGUAAUGCAUGCAAUAAAUUUAUUGGGG
rnacentral:lncRNA from 1 species